rnacentral:rRNA from 1 species
AUUGAACGCUGGCGGCAUGCCUUACACAUGCAAGUCGAACGGCAGCACGGGAGCAAUCCUGGUGGCGAGUGGCGAACGGGUGAGUAAUAUAUCGGAACGUGCCCAGUCGUGGGGGAUAACGCAGCGAAAGCUGUGCUAAUACCGCAUACGAUCUAUGGAUGAAAGCGGGGGAUCGCAAGACCUUGCGCGAUUGGAGCGGCCGAUAUCAGAUUAGCUAGUUGGUGAGGUAAAGGCUCACCAAGGCGACGAUCUGUAGCUGGUCUGAGAGGACGACCAGCCACACUGGAACUGAGACACGGUCCAGACUCCUACGGGAGGCGGCAGUGGGGAAUUUUGGACAAUGGGCGCAAGCCUGAUCCAGCAAUGCCGCGUGCAGGAUGAAGGCCUUCGGGUUGUAAACUGCUUUUGUACGGAGCGAAACGGCCUACCCUAAUACGGUGGGCUAAUGACGGUACCGUAAGAAUAAGCACCGGCUAACUACGUGCCAGCCGCCGCCGUAA